rnacentral:lncRNA from 1 species
UAUAGUUUUCCUUUGAAUAACGUAGUUCAAGAAACUUACUGAUUCUUAUGUAAUCUUACAGCAGUUAAGAUUCUCAAGUGUAGAUUCAUUAUUUAAUUCUCGAAUUAGUAUAUGUUCAUUCCCUUAGUUUAUCUGCUCAAACCCCAAGAAAAGUUACUAUUUUCCUUUUGAGAGGCACACUUCCCAAUAUGCCUCCCAUAAGAUAUUUAUGGGCUUCAACCCAUCAUGCAAAAAACGGGAAUCGUAUGGUUCGUGAAGAUAUAAACUAGAGUGAGGGUAUAACUCUCCACCGAUGUAUGUCAAAGAUGAUGGGUCUUUUUUUUAAAAUAUAAGAUAAAGUAUAGAUAGAAAAGGAUUAGUAAUUAGGAUCUGAAGUAAAGGGAAGGUUAAGAACAUGAAAGUUUGAUCAAAUCAUAAUAGAAUCUAUUGUAAAUGGAAUGAAAUUCCUUUAAUAGCCUUUAAAGAACAAAACACAGUCGUCCAUAAAGAAAUUGAGAUGAUUAUUAUGGGAAUCCCUUUUUCAUUUUUCAAAUUUAUUAAAUUACAAUUACGACUAAAGAAUAUAUUAUAAGAAUUAAAAUAUCGUUUUUUAUUUUAUUUAAUUAUUAAUUCUUUUCAAAUGUUUAUUCUUGAAAAAAAGUAAAAACUUUAAAUUAAAAUAAAAAAUAGAUUACCCAUCAAAUUUCAGUAUUUUUACACUUUCAACUUUCAAAACAAAAUCCAAGACAAUUGCUAAUUUCAUAAAAAAAUUAGUCAUUUAUACUCUUUUUGUAAUGAGUAAUAAAGAUAGAAUGAUCAACAAACACACUUAGAUUAACACACCCUUAAUGACUUCAUUAUAUGAUGCUGCACUAUUCGGUGAACUAAUAAAUGAGUAUAAAUGGAUUUCUAAGUUAAAUGUUGGGAUAGUUUAACGAGAUCGUUUUUUGGUGCAUAUAUUUAUCGACCUGUUUAAUGAAACAGAUGUAUUUUGUUAAAAAAAGAGUUUAUUGGAUUUUUAAAAUCUUUUUUUCUUCAAGCUAUUUUGAUUAGAAAAUUGAGGGAGGUUAAAUUUUAAGUUGUUGUUUCUUUUUCUAUAAUAUUAUAUUUAAUUUAUCGAUUAUGACUGCAUGUUCCGAAAAAACGAUCUCCCAAGUAUCAAUCAAUGUUUUAGCCCAUUUUUUCUUUUAUAAUUAACUAUUAACAUUGCCUAUAUUAUGCCUCAAAUUCUUUGCCAUGUUAUUAGUGUUUUUCAAAAUAACUCAUUUCUAAAAUUAAACACUUGAAAAUUUUAAUGGAACAUUUAUUUUAAUAACUUUUGGAUAUUCAAAAUAUCGUCAGUCGAUGCUAGGUUGACACGUACAUAACCACUCUGUUUAUGCCGACAUCCAAAAGAAAAUUAUAUACAUAUGCUUAUAUUCUGAGAUUAAUUCCUUAUGUUUAUAUUCUCCAUCCUCCCAAGUGGUAUUAGGAAAAGUUUGAUGCCAUCUACUUUAGGUUCUGGUGCUACAUAUAGUAUUUUCCUUUGAAUGAAAUAUGUGAACACAAGAAAAUAAAAGAAGGUAUUAUUAGAUUUUCGUUGACAUCAUACAAAAGAAAAUUAUAAUAGAAUGUGUUGACAUUUCAUGAUCACUAUAUAUUGUGUUGACACGUAAAUGUGAGAUUCACCGAUAUUUUUAUUUACAUCGAUAUAUUUUACACCUAUAUCGCAAGAGAACCUUGCAGACACUCGAAUUUUCAUUGUUGAUCCAAAUUGUAAACCUUGCAAAAGGUAUUUUGGAUACUUUAUUCCGAGUUGAUAGAGAUGCUCACAAAAAGACACAUUAUUUCUUCUACGGCAGAAAUGCAUGAAGUAAACUUUGGUAAAUAAAAACUCCCUCAAAGCAUCAAUUCCAUUUGAGAUGAUGUGUAAUAGAUAUCAUCUCAAAGAGCAAAAAGAAAAAAGAAAAAAAAAAAAAACCAUCUCCUUGUGUUAGGGUUUUUGUCUUUUACAUACCAACUCUAUAUAAAGACUCCUUCCCCAUAGAGAAAAAUCUAAGGCAAACAAAAACUAUAUUAUCAUCAACACAAAGAUAUAUUAUUAGAGCUUACGUUCUUGAAUAUCAUUGAAAUGGCAAUGUCAAGGUCUCAACUGAAGUUGACUAGGGAUGAGGUUAGGGAGAUCUUAGAAGAGCAUGACGUGGACGGUGAUGGUAGCCUGACGAAGCAAGAGGUGAUGCAAGCCCUGAACUCCAUGGGUUCUAUGAUGUCCUUUCAGAAAGCUCACUAUGGUGUUUCUCAUGCUGACAAAGAUGGGGAUGGUAAAGUCGAUCUAGGAGAAGCAGAGAUGGAGAAUCUUAUUGACUAUGUCAUGAGGUUUCAGACCCCAAGGGCCCCAAAGACCCCAAAGGUCCCUAAGGUGCCAGCCCAAAAGCCUUGCCAUGAUGGUAAAUCAAUUGUGUAAUAAUCUUAGCUUAUUUCUAUUUAUUAUGUGUCCGUCUUCAGUCUUCGUCUACGUCUUCAUCUUGUUUUUCAGUCCAUAUAGUUUAUGUUACAAAUUGAGCCAUGGCUGUGCUCAAAUUGGCAAUUAUCCACGUAUGUUCGUUAUCUGCAGUAUUGUGUGUCACUGGUAAUAAAAUUAUCUUCUUGUUGUAUCCAUAAAUUAUUAUAUAAUAAACAUUCCUAAACUAUUAAAAAUGUCAGAUUUUCAAUUUCAUUUCAUGCCAUCGUGUGAUUUAUUAUUUAACUUUGCACUAUGUAAAUAUAAACUAAGAUCUUUUAUAAAUAUUUACAAGUAACAUAAAGUUUAAUACAUAGUAGAAUGUUUUGAAUGUAUUAUUUAGCAUUUCUAACACCCAAAAUCUAAGUGGUAUUCAAUAUUUAUUCUAUCUAUGUGAUUUAUGAUUGACUCUUAACCUUAGAAGUACUUUUAUAGUUUAACAGCUUUUAUCUGAUAAGAAAACUUGCUCUCUCCAUCGAUUAGUGUACAUCUAACUCAUGAUUAAUCAAGUAUUUAAUUGUAUCAAUGUUUACUGGUUUUUUGUUGCCCAUUUUUUCUUAACACUGUAGCUAUAAAAUUGUAUUUGCUAACUGACAAAAUUACAUGACCCAAAUAUACUAGAAAUGUUGUAAAUAAUUAACGCCAUAAUGAACCAAAUAAAAGUGUAAAGAGAGUAUACAAAAGGCAAAACACACCAUAUGAACAUUCUCAUGUAAGGAUACAAAUGUAUAUAUAAAAUGGGGCCAUUCGUUUUAUAAUAGCAGAAAGCAGUAAUUAGAAUCGAUGAUAUAUAAAAGGAAAAAGAGAUUCAUUGGACGACAUUUAAUUAAGACAAAUCAAAUAAGCCUACCAUCAUAAUUUUCUUAAAAAAUCUGUUACAUUUUUUUGAAUGGAAUACUAGUAGACCAGGGUCAUUAAUGCACCCAACGACUCAUCCAAGAUCGUUUGCCAUAGCAGCUGCAUCAGUCAUCACACUCCAGCCCAGCCCCCAUGUUGUUUACUUUUGUAUAAAAUGGUAAUCAAAUAUAGAUGUUUAUUGAAAUGUCAAUCUGUUUAAUUAAAAUACAGUAACUAAUGAAUAUGUAAUAAAGAUACUAUCCAGCCCUGCCUGUACUACUUUUCUUGGUAAUAAAAUUCUGGCGUUAGGGCUUUGCCCACUCACCUUGUUUCCUCUUAAAAAAUGAAUAUCUAAUAAGAAUUAAAAUAACCUUUUCUAAUUUUAUUCUUUAUUAACUGUCAUUUACAGCUUGUUCAAACAUUAACACUUAAAAGAUUUAAAAUUAAAAUAUGGUUUGACUUAAACUCACCCAUCUAAAUUCCAAAACAUCUUAAAGUGAAAACAUUAAUAAACUUAAAUUAAUAUCUCAUCUUCUUUUAUUUUUUGUAACCAAAGGAUGAUAUAUGCAUACAGAAAUAUGUAUUAUUGUACGUGAUAGACCACCAAAUAUUUGCUGAAUAUCUUUAUCCCCAUCGACUGGACAUUUCUAUAACUUUUGAAAAACGAUUCUUCUGUUUUGGUAGGGUUUUGUUUUUCUUUUCUUUUCUUUUCCUUUUGACAAAAAUGAUAAUAACUUGGAUUUUUGACAUUUUAUGGUUGAGUUUCAGUUUUCUUUUACAAGUCUAAAUCGUGGCUAGCUUAAGAAAUAUUUCUACAAUUCAAUUUACACUUAUAUCAUACAUUUUAAUUUUGAAUAUUUUGCUACAUCAAAUUUGAGUAAUUACAUUUUAUUUGAAUAAAUACAUCAAUUAGAGAGAGGUUAGAAAUUGCAUCCAAAAGUCUCAAAUAUGACCUUAUUUUGUUCUUCUAAAAAGAAAGAAAAAAUAUUCGUGAAUAAAGUAUAAAAUUCCAAAAAGCUGAGAUUUAAUUUAGGAUUCUUUUCAAAAAUAGGAAAAAAAAUCACAAAUUUGUUCACUCCAUAUAAAAAAAUAUUAAAAAAAAUUCAUUACAUAAAUAAUAUUUAAAAAAUUGCAUAGGACAAUAUUUUGAGAAUAUGAUAUAGCAAUUAUAGAACACUGUUUUAGAAUUUUGCAAAUAUGACAAAUGUUUUACUUCUUCAUCUUAAAUUUGUUAUUAUUCUUAAACUAUCAUUUAAUAAUUUAUUUCUCUUCCUCUUUUUAAUGCCCUAUUCAUUAUAUAUUUAUUCUCUCACUUUUUAAGGCCCUAAUUAUUUGUUUAUUCUUAUACUAGAAAAAUUAUUUAUUCAUUAUUCUCUCACUUUUUAAGGUUCUAAUUAUUUGUUUAUUCUUAUACUAUAAAAAUUAUUUAUUCUUCAUGUGUUAAUCUUAAUUUUAAAAUAUCAAUAGUAUAAUAAUUGCAAUAUGAAAUAUAAUAUAAUGGUUGGUGAUCGGAGUAAUUAACUUCAUUUGUGAUUUCUUUUUUUACUUUCUUCGAUGUGUAUUUUAAGCUGAAUCUAAUUUCAAAUGAUUUUGUUUUAUUUUUUUACAUUAAUUUUUUGAUUUUACUUUGUCUCAGUUUCAUAUAUCAGUGUUAUGAUAUACUUAUAUUAUAUAUAUUAGUUAGUUAAUAUACUUACUAUGUAAUUUUUGUUUUCUGAAAAUUUUAUAUAGAUCAUUAGAGUAUUAUUAAGUAUAUGAAUUAUUUAACUUAGUGUAUCAUUAUCAAGUAUAUCAACAAUAUAUUGUUAAAACAUAUCAAUAAAGUGAAUCAUUAUCAAGCAUAUGAAUCAAAUUUACAAGUGUAUAUCAAUAGUAUAUCAAGUGUAUAAGUAUGACUUCAAGCAUAUCGAGUGCAUUUAAUCAAUCAAUUGUGUAGAUACCGUAUUUUGUCCUGCCUUUUUAUUUUUUUCAUUAAUUUAUUUAUUAUUUUUUUAAAAGAAUUUGAAUUUGAAUUUAAAUUUAAAUUAUAAAAUUUAAAUCUUAAUUUUUAAAUUUAUGUUUUAAAACAAAAACAAAAAUAAAAACAUAUUUAAAAUUAAAUUUAAAAGUAAAGAUUUUUUUUCUUCUCCCUAUUUUUCUCAACCUUCCCCUGUUUUCCUGAGUCACAACCCUCCCACUUUCUCCCAAUCUCUCACGUUCUCCCACUCUUCCAUCUUCUUCCCCAAUCUCUCACGUUCUCCCACUCUUCCACAUUUCUGUGUACUCCAUUUCACUAUCUAAACCUACUUCACUUCUAUCUAAAAAAAGGAGACAUUUCCCUAUAAAAAGAGAAUGAGAAGAUUCAAUGGGGGGAGAAUUUUUUUUGCUGGAGAAUUAUUUGGUAGAGAAGAGGGACACGUAAAAGAUUUUUUUUGGAAGAGGUGAGGAGGAUCAACCCAGAACAUUUUGCAUUUAAGGCAGACCUUGUAAGUUCUUUUUUUUAUUCACGUUUGAUAAUACUAGCUUGAUUAUUUGGCACCCAGUAAUUAUUUCGCACCCAUCUGGGUGCUGUCUUAAUUAUUCAUUUAAAUCACUCGUUAAUUAGCUGAUGCGUUAAUCAUUGGGCACUCAUUUCACAUCUUUUAAUUAUUUGCAUCAUUUGAAUUAUUUGGCACCCAUUUGACUCUUUGAUUGCUGACCUAAUACAGUGUAUCAGGUGUAUCAAACAUAUAUUAGUAAUGUUUCAGGUGUGUAUAAAAAAGUAUCGAGUAUAUCAAAGAGUAUCCGAGCAUCAAGUGUAUCAAUCAAAUGUAUCAAAAAGUAUAAGGUGUAUCAAAGAAUGUAUUAGGUGUAUCAGACGUGUAUAAGACGUGUAUAAGGUGUGUAUAAGGUGUAUCAAACGUAUAUUAGUAACGAGGACAUUUGUGACAUUUUACCUUUUGAUGUGUGGACUGGGUUUCGUUUUUGCCAUUUUCGCAAAUAAAAUGUGUGUGCUAUAGACUUAAUUGUUAUAACUUAUUUUGUCAUUUUUGCAAGUGCCCCUAAAUAUUUUGUCAAAUUUUCUAUUUUUGACAAUUUUCCAUAAAAAAUAAUAUUAAUUAACGUUUAAUAAAGUUCAAAUCUCUUCUCUUCUCGGAUUGGUCCAAAAUGGUGAAAUUAAAUAAAUAUUAAAAGAAAAUGAGAAAAAAAAGUGUCAAUAGAUAAUUGCAAAAUAUAUACUUUUGAUUGAUGAGAUUUGAAAUUAUUUUGUCUAUCCUAGUAUUUAAAAUUUGAAAAGAAACACUUGACAUCUCUAAAAAAAAAGUUUGACAAGCAAGCAAUGGAUCGAUCCAUAAUUUUUCUUAAGAGGGACUUAAGUUAAAUUAUUUUGCAAAAAUAUUAAAAUACAACUUAAGUUCAAGAAACUUUCAAUUUAAAUUUUGCCAUAAAAUUGAAAUGAUGUCUCAUGUGUUAUUAUAAACAUUCAAUUUUGUAUUUAGUAUACAAAACACAGGAUGAACUUUGAAUACCUAAAUCCACGCAAAAUUAAAAAAAUUAUUUUAAGUUCACACUUGAAUUAAAAUUUAGAGAAGACAUCUUCUUUCCUUUUGUGAUUAUUAUUAUUUUCUCAACAGAGAAAUUAGAAGUUGGGGUAUCGGACAAAGUUAGAAAGUUCAAAACGUUCAAAACGUUCUUUAUUCUCCAAAGCUUCCUAAUCAAGAUAAGAUGGAACCAAGAGGCUACGCUUUUUAAGGACCCUUCCCUUCCACUUUCUUCUCAACAGUUCUUCAAUCGAAGAAAAACGGCGAAGGUUGCGAAGUCGUCUAGGUUUCAUCUAAAAUGACUCGUCAAUUAUAUGACAAGAAGAAAUCAGGGUACAAGUUGCAAAAAGAAGAAAUGAAAGAAAUGUUUAGGGAGCAUGAUUUCAAUGGCGACGGUCGCUUGAGCAUUAAAGAAUUGUCGAGAGCAUUCGGCCAAUUUGGCGCAUUCUUCCCUCUCUACCGUGCAGCUUUUGGGUUGUUCCUUGCAGAUGAUGACGGCGAUGGAUUUAUCAGUGAGCAAGAACUAGAUAAAGUGGUAGAUUAUGCUAUUAAAUGUAAGUAUAACCUACUUUAGUUAUCUUUUCCAUCCUGCUGUGGAAGGUUCCCUAGUGAGUGUGAGUUGUUGAUGUAAAAAAAUAAUAUACAGAAAGGUAAUUUGUGUGUUCAAGAGAUACCUUCCCCUAUUAUUGUAAAAUGCCUUUCCUGAUGGCUGAUGCGAAGAUGAUGAUGAUAGCAUUUCCAAUAAAAAUAAAUUUUAUGCUUCAUUCUUGCUCUUGCAUGAUAUGAUAACAAUUUUCUAAAUAUAUGUAUAUUGUUACAAAAUAAUAGACGCACUUUAUUUUAACAAUGUACCAGGAUCUGUUAACCUAUUAAUCUCUUGUAUCCAAAAGUUUCAAAAACAAAUUACAAGCUGAUAUAAACAAUAAUGAUUACAAAGUAAUACAAAAAUGUCAGUGUUGAAGUUUGCAGCUUAAUUAAAACUUUACAAAUAUAUUGAUAGAUACACAUCGUACAGGAACGUCCACCAAUAUCAAAAGGUACGAAAAUCAAACUAAACUGACCAAUGUCCAAUUAUCUUCAAAAUCGAUCGGUUUGGUUCACUUUGGUGAUCUAAUUAAUUUUGUUCCCCGGCAUCUUGGCUUCGGUUUUAUUAACAUUUUUUUGUAUUCUCCAUUUGUUAUAUUGGCCAUCAAAUCUAGGAAGAGAAGAGGGUGAAAUAGAGUAGGAUGUUUAAUUUGGGAGAGAAAGAGGUUCAUGAAUCUUUGAACCAUAAACUUCGUCCUAUUUGGAUGUCAAGAUUCAUGUCUCAAAUAAGUAUUUGGUAAAUUAGAAUGGUGAACCGAAGAAAUAUCUUCUCGUAAAGGCUUGUUGAACAUAUAGCUUGCUCGCUGUAUAUGAUGUACUGAUUCAAUAUCUGAUCUAUGAAACAAAACAAACAUGGUGAACUUACAUUUCUUUUUUUAAACUUUAGAUACUGUUGUGUAUUUUCAUUUCUAAAACUUUGAGAAAAAAAACUAUUUACUUUCCUAAAGUAAAUAGUAAAAUAGUUUAAAUUAUGUGAAAAUAUUUACAAAACACACAAAAAUUUCAAAUUCUAUCCAGAAUAGAUAAUGAUUAACUUUUGUUGGUGUCUAUGUUGAGUGCAAUGUCUAUCAUUAAGAAAAUCUUAAAUCUAAACUUUUGGUGGCAACAAGCAACAAGCAACGUACAUCUUGAAUAUAAUUAUUACUCAAAUUAUUUUUCUUAACAAAAUAACUAAUGUUGUUAAACAUUGUUCAUGGUAAAGACGUAGAACCCUAAUUUGCCCACACAAACAACGAAUGCUCGAAUUCUAUUGUUAAUAAUUUAUCCUCAUAUGUGUGGGUUUUUCUCUAGUAUAUAAUAUUUCGGUAUACCUACUAAUCCAUUCUAGAAUAAUUUCUUGGUAAACAAAAAAAACUAUAAAUUAUAAAGGAAUGAAUAAAUUAGAAUAGACUAAAAAUAGAUUACUCAAUUUUUUAAAGUUAUUAUUCCAAUCUUAAAGCUUAAGUUCAACAGAUGAUGUCAAAACACUAUCUACGUCAAUCACUAUCUGAUUUGCCACUUUUGUUAAUAAUAUAAACUCAACUUUUCUAUUUUUGACAACUUUUCUAAAUUCUAAUUUUUAUAAUUAAACAAAACGUACAUACAAAAUAUAUAUUUACAAAUAAAAUUCUGAAGUGAAAUUCUAUUUUAAUUUAAAAGUAAUUGACAAAUUUUGUUAUAUUUUUUUAAAAAAAUAUUACUAUAUAUUUGAAAUGUGCUACUUGUUGCAUUUACCAUAUUUUUUAAUCUUUCACCAAUAAAUUUAAAAUCCUAAUUUAAUUAAUCUUCAUUCUCAUAAGAAUGAUAAUUGCAUAAGCAUAAUAAUUUAUUCUUUCACAUUAUUUCCAACUUCUAUACAAGUAUUUAUAAUUGAAAAUUAUUAAAAAUAACAAAAAUUGUUGAAAAUAUCUAUCUAAUAUAGUAAAAUUUUCCAUUCAUCGAUAAGGGUAGAUUUGAAAAAAUGAUAUCAAGUUAUAAUCUUAGUUCUAAAAAAACCAAAACUUGUAUUUCUAUUUCUUCAACCCUUUCCACAUAACCAAGGUCCAAUAUUUGAAAAGGAAAAAGAAAAGUAGGUAUUCAAAAUUAAAAGAUGUGGGAAUUAAAACAGCCGUAAUUAGCAUAUGCAAGGUUUUUGUUUUUAAUCAGUAUGUUGUUUCUUUAAACACUUAUUAUUACGAUUAUGUAAUAAAUUUAAGACUUAUUAGAGAAAUGUUGUUGUUAGGUUUUUGGCGAUUCCAACAUAUAUAUCGUAGUUUUUUUAAAAAAGAAAUAGAAAAGAAAAAGGAACUAAGGAAGGGGAUGGAAAAACCUAAAUCGGAGGUAUGGUGAUGGGGAACGGUAAGGGAAGUCGGAAUCCAUUUCCGGCAACGAAAAGUAAUUAAGGAAAGAAAAUUCCAUAAAUUAUUAGCAGAAUCAAUAAUGGGAAAAAUAUAAAGGUAUGCUUGGAUGCAGGAAUGAUUUAUGGUGGACUACUCACUCAAAAUUAUUCCUUUGUUCCUUCCUUUAUUUAUUUUGAUGCACCACCACAUUUUCAAAUUACCACCAUGCAUGAAGAUAUAUAUAUUAUAUAUAUAUAUAUAUGAGCCAUGAAUAUUUUUUAAAUAUUAAUAUUAGAAAUAUAGAAGAAAACGAAAACCUAAGUUAAUAUUUUGUGUAAAUUUGGUAGUGAGGGUGAAAGUGGGAAGAUAAGAAUAGGGAACAAAUGAAUCAGCCACACCCAUAAUGAAGAUGGUACCCAACUUGGAAAUCUGAGUAUCUUUGAACGAACAGUAUUUUGGUAUCUCUUUUUUUUUAUAAAGAUACUUUGAGAUAGCUGAUGCAAGGCCACAUGGGAACAUAUCAAUGCAUCAACUAUAGCCCCACUUCAUUAAUAAUAAAAGGUGAUUACAAGAAGCGGGGAAUAGAAAGGUUAGAGGGCAGCCCGAUUAUCCCAAAACGAAAGCAUGUAAAUUUAAAGCAAUAGAACUGGACGGGUAAUUUUUGAAAAGAGAAGAACGACUCGACCAUAGACCAGUUAUAGCUUGAAUGUCUUCCCAUACAGAAACAUCUGAUUUCUCUUCUCCCUUAAAAGUCCUUAUGUUUCUUUCAUUCCAGAUAUUCCACAGGGUAGCAGCCACCAGAUGUUGUUCAAUGGUUUGUCUUUUUUAUUUACCUUUAGUUUUGAAAGGUUGUUUGCAUAAAACAGUAGAAUCUAUAUGGGGGAGAAGUUUGUCUAGUACCUCUUCAACUUUUUUCCACAGGUUUUUUUUGUGAAGGGGAAGAGGGAGAAUAAAUGAAUACUAUGUCAUUCACCAUUUUCUAAUGUCAUACUUUUAAUGGUAAAUACUUAGACGUUUCAUGAAAUUUAUUUAUGAUUUAUCUAUGUACGUUUACUAAUUGGAUGUUUAAUUACAAUAUUUUUACCAAUGACGAGAUUCUUCAUCUUUUUAGUUUUUCUUAUUCCUUGAUGAUUGUAGGAUGCAUUCAAGAUCCAUCCAAUUUCAUUUUUAGAUUUUUGAAAUUGUUAAAAUAAUUUUUGUCAUAUUAAAAAAUAAUUUAAAUAUAUUUUAGUAAUUUUUCUAUCGUUUUGUUUCAUAGCAAAUAUAAUUUAAAUUCAAAUUCGGUAGAAAUAAGAGAAAGAUGUGAAAAAAUGGUACAUUUUUGCAAUACGACAACGCACUCUUUCAACUAAACUAUAUAUGCUCGAUUUGACUAGUAUUAUUGCAUUGAAAUCGACACAAAAUGGGUAGAAAAUAAGUGGGUAUUAUAAUACCAAAGCAUCAAAUAUGCAAAGCCACCACUGUGAAACUCUUAAAGCCUAAAAGAUAAAACGCAAAUUGCCAAAAGCAUCUUCCAUCCUUUACCUUGUUGGAAAAUUCAUUAAGUACUUAUUAAUUAAUUGCGAUAACAAAGGAAUAAUUGAAUUGUGAAUUUGUCACUCUUUAAUCACUUUCUGGAUUUGGGUGAUCAAGUUUAACUUUAUUAACUUUCAAUUUUUAGGAAUUGAAUUCUAGACUCUAGUGAGUAUUAAUACACGUUUAAAUUGGUAUUAAAUUUGUUUUUAAUGUUAUAUGUGUUUUAGUCUCCUUUAAAUAUCUCUACCUUGUUAAGAUAUAUACAUUUCCUCUGCCUCCUUGUUAAAAGAAAAUUGGUAUAAAACAAAGAUUUCCAAAAACCAACAAAUAAAUCAAAAUCUCAAAAGGGCAAAAAAAAGAGUAAAAGCCAGAGUCUUGUCAAAUUAAUUAUAAGAAUCCUCAUAGCUAGCUUUAACUGCAAGUUCUAGAAACAAAAUGAAUAAAUUUAAUCGAUAUCAUUCUUUUAAUAAAUGUUUCAAAGUACGUAAAUAAAACUACACAUAGUUAGAUAGUUAUUAAUUAUUUGACAAGGUGUAACAGAUAAUACCCUAUAAACAACGAUCCAUUUUUGACAAUUUUUUAUUGCAACCCAAACUUUAUCUAAAAGUUUUUCAUGCAACAAUAUAUCAUGACUAACUUUACAAGACCAAUAAGGUUUUACAUCCAAAGAAAAGAAAAUGUAAUAGAUAAGUAAGGAUAGUUAUUAAAUUUUUUUUUAUGCAUGAAAACUUUCUGAACUGAUAAUGAAAUCAGAAGAAUAUUGACUACUUUCAAGACACGUAUUCGAUUCUUCACGUGAGCUUCGUAAAGUUGAUGUUAAACGUUUUGGCAGUAUCCUCUUUUUUCUUCUUUUUCCAUUUUAUUAUUUUUAUAUAAAGAAAAAUGAAAUUCUCCUUUCUAAAAAUUCAGAAAAUACCUCAUAAAAAAAAAAUAGUAAAAUGUAAUAUUUUAAUUCUAAGAAAAGAUUCCAUAUAUCAUUAUGAUACCAAUAUGAUUACAAAGAAAGUGGGAGAAUUCUACUAUAAAUACCCCACGAUCCAUACAUCGAUAAACACCAAGCAAACCAUAAAAAAAAUACGAACAUUUUGCUCCAACACUAAACCGUAUCAUUUCUAAGAAAAUGUCUCGUGCAGCAACCAGGCUACAGCUCUCCAGGGAGGAUAUAAAGGAGAUUUUUAGAGAGCACGACAUCGAUGGAGAUGGUCGAUUGAGCAUGAACGAGAUGGUGAAGGCCUUCGGGUGCUUUGGCAGUAUUCUUCCUUUCUACAAAGCACACUACGGAAUGGCUCAUGCUGAUGAGAAUGGCGAUGGCUUCAUCGAAGAGGAGGAGCUCGACAAGCUUGUCGACUAUGCCCAGAAGUUUCAGCACAAGAGAAAGUGCUGAGGUUAAUUAUAUGUAAUUUUCCUCAGUCUGCUGGUCAUAAUGUCAUUAACACUUUCAGUUUACAUGCACUACUUUAAAUAUUAUACUCUCAUGUUUAGAAGUUUUAAUGUGUUGUUGUAUAAAUAAAGAAAAGAAAAAGAAGGGCUAGGCUACGUAGCUAAAAUUCCUGCUUUGCCUUAGCUAUCAAAAGGGGAGACGUUGUCUUUGUGUUUCAAAAAAUAAAAUAAAUAAAAAAUAAAAUCAUAUUGAGAUAGUUUAUCUCAUUAUUAUCAUAUUUGUAAGUUGUGCGUUUUUUACAAAGAAAUUGGAGGAAAAUGAUCAACAUAAGUGCAUCCAAAUAUCUCAAUAGAUUGUGUUUACUACUUUUAAAGAUUUUUCUAUAAAAAAAGAAAAGAAAGUAAAACAUCAAUCUAGCUAAAUCCUUUUGAAUACUUCGACAUCUAUUUAUCUCUUUACUCUAUUAGUGUUUUCUUUUUCUUUUUAAAAAACUAGUCUUAAUAUUAUUUAAUGUUACUGUAUAUAUCAUAUAUCGCAUUUUAUAUAAAAUUGAAUGGUAUAUUUAAUUUUUAAAUUAAAAAAUUCAAUAUUGUACGAUCAUGUAUUCAAUACAUGAUUACAAUACCUUUGUUUUCAAAGCACCUUGGUUCUUGAAAAAUCAGAACUCUAUGAUUCUUCUUAACCAAAUCGGUUAUGGUGAUUGCCCUAAUUUUGCAUUCUAAGGGCUCAUUUUGGGAAGCUUGUCUAAAAGUUACAAUAGCAUAUUCAGAGCGUCGUAUCACACUUUAAUUCUCUGUAGGACAUGUGUUUCGAUGAAACUCUAAAAAAAGGUUUAAACAAAAAUAAAGUGUUUUAUUGAAAAAUACAUUUUUUUUAAAAAAAAUUCAAUCUAACUAACCCUUAAAUUUUAUUUAAAUUUCUAAACUUUUGUCUCGCUAUUUUGGAAAUUUUAUGAAGUUUACGUUUGGAUAACCUUUAGAAGUAAGACUUUAUUUUAGUGUGCAAUUGUUUUAAACUGAGUUUAAAAUUUGAUUAUUAAGGAUGUGUUCUCGACGAAGAAUUUUGGAAUAUAUGGGCAUAUGGAUGGAAGAAAACUAAAGCCCCUUGGAUGACGAUAAACGUAGGAGGAAUAUAAAUUUACAACCCAUCAUACUUUUUUUUUCCUAUGAUGAACCAUAGUCAAUCCACCUUUUACAAUUAUAUUUUUAAAGGCUCAUCUUGGUCACCAUCUUACUUUUAUUGGUUUGUUCUCAAAUUAUAUUAGUUUUUACAGUAACAUUUUAUUAAAUCACUUAUGUAUCUUUUUCAAAAAAAAAAAUAAAAAAAAAUCACUGAUUAAUUAAUAAAAAACUUAGGCUAAAUGUUGAUAGAACGUAUAUUUUUAGUACUUUAUGUUAGUUCAGGUACUUAGUAGUUCAAAGUUGUUUAUUUAUACAUUUUUUUUAAGAAAGCAAUUGUUUCUUAAAUACGAUAAGAACAUAUGAAAACACAAUGCCUAUCAGAAAUUAUUAAGUAAAAAAUUAAGAUUUUUAAUUAACCAACGUAGGUUUUUUCUAGGUCUACAAACAUGACAGCUUAAAGAAGAUGGACAGCAACUUAAAAUUAAAAUUAAAAUAAUAAUAAAAGAAAUUCCUCAACUUUGUCCUUUAUUUUAAAAAUAUUUUUAUUCUUUCGAAAGGUAGAAUAUUAUCUUUGACUUUGAACAUUACAAAACUGUUCUUUAGAAAUAUAUGUGUUAAAAUAUCUUAUUGAAGUUAGAACCUGAAAUAGUAUAUGUUGAUGACUGAGAAUGAUGCGGCAGUAUUAUCUUUGAGGAUGGCCUAAUUAAACAUUGUUUUUAUCACUUUUUGCAUUAUGCUCAACAUUUUACUAACAUUUCUUAUCUCUGAAGUAUAUAUUUUUUUACAGAAAAAAAAAUAAUGUUACGUAUGUACAUGUUAAUCUUUCUUCGUUUUCUUUAUAAGAAACCAGAAGGCACAAAACACACAAAACACAAUUACAAAAACUUUCUAUAGCUGAAAGAUGAAAUGGGAAUAUGAUUCCAGUGAAGAAAUUUAGAGAUAAUACGACUUUUGAUAAUGCAUUAUAAAUACCAUUCGCUUUCACUACUUGAUGAUACAUAUCAAACAAAAUCUUAAAGCCACGUCUAACUAAAACCCUAAAGCCAACCACAAGAAUGGAAGAAAAAAGUCUUUUUGUUGCACUCCAAAAGCCUCUGUCAGAGAAGGAAGCAAACCUUCUGCUCGAGAUGCGCGAUGCCAACGGCGAUGGAGUUCUCGAUAAGCAGGAACUGAUGGCUGACUUGACACACACUAACAAAAAACCCUCCACAAGCUUACAAGACAUGAAACUCACAAGGGAAGAGAUCAAAGAAAUUUUUGUAGGUUUCGACAUCGAUGGCGAUGGUUUUCUAAGUAAGAAUGAGGUAAUACAGGCCUUCGGUAUGAUGGGUUCAUGCUCCCCGAUUAUGAAAGCUCACUACGCCAUGGCUUGUGCUGAUGAAGAUGGCGACGGUCGCAUUAGCGAGCCUGAACUUAAUAAACUCAUUGAUUAUGUUCAGAGAACCAUUAACAGGAGGAGGUUAAAUUAAUUAGCUAUGAGACAUAUUCAUAUGUAUGUAUGUACUGCUACAUAAUAAAUUUAAAGUUUCAAAAUAACUUUUGAAUUUAAUGUGGGUGGAGGAUUGAACUCAAAUUAAAACUAUUAGAUUAUUGGCAGGUUAAAAAUAGCUUCUAGAUCCUAAACCUUUCUAAAAGAAAUAAUUGAGUUAUAUAAAUGAAAAUAUAGUUUGAGACAAUUUAUUAGUUUGGUGUACUUUUGAAUUUGAAGCAAUUUGGUUCCCUAUACUUAUAUUUGUAAUAAUUUAUGAAAGAAGAGUUGUUGAUAUCCACUUUCCCUUCCUUUCAGCUCCCUCUCUUUUUCCCUUUUGGCACCAUCACCACAGUUCACAUUAGAGCAUUCACCAAUCGUUCACCCGUUGGAAGCGAUCAUGCGCCAUUCGUCCUCAUUUAUCAGCCGUUUUUCAUCACCGUCAACUUUCGUAGGCCACUUAUUGUUGGAUAGAAAAUUAUUGCGAAUAUCACGUGACUAUAAGAAUAUAUUGAUUAUAGUAGUUUAUCGCUAAUAAAUUUCGUUAUAUUUAUCAAAUUUUUGUAGAAUAUUGUCGUACACUUAAAGUCCCAAAGUUGCUGGGCUGCUGCUUUGUUAUGGCCCAAGUGGGAAUAAGGGUUUGAUCCGAUCUGAAUUUUGGUGGCAGGUAUAAAGGAGGGAGAAGAAUAGGAAACAUGGAGGAAUUGCACAUGGGUGAUGUAAAUUCAAUAAUCCUAAUUUCAAUUGUAUAUCCUUUGAUUUUUUGAAAUCAGAAUUGAAAAUCUCUCUCUAAACUCUGCUCUUUCCAUUAUGAUUUUUGGAAUAAAAUUACGAACAACUCAAACAUGGAAAUAGAGGAAAGGCCAUGAUGUACGUGGUUGGGUUAAAUGAACCCUAACCAUAAGUGGAAGAUUUAUUCUUUUGAAGGCUACAAGAAGAUAUAUGGUUUAUUUAUUUCAUUUUUUUUUUUUUAAUUUUACAGCAAUGAUCUAUUUGUGUAUGGGUAUUAUCUGUUGCAAUGAAACUCUUAGGAAAAAUAAAGCCGUUGGAAUCAAAUUAAAUAUUCUUCACCAUGUAUACAAAGUGAAGACAUUUUACCACGGGUGACACAUACAAUAUUGCAGAAAACCAAAGUACAACAACAAACAACAUACAUGGCUCCAUUGUAGAGCAUAAACCAUAUUGACCCAAAACCAUACGAGCAAACACAUAGACAUAAAUAAUACAAAAUAGAUUACUUGGUCGACCGACUUGAUUUAUCAUCCUGCCGUUGCUUUGCAUUAUUAAACCUCAUGACAUGGUCGACGAGUUUCUCCAACUCGUUUUCAUCACAGAAACCAUCACCAUCUUUGUCAGCAAAAGCCAUCCCAUAGAAAGCUUUCUGGAAUGAAUUGAUCAUAAACCCCGUAGAGCUUAGGGCUUGCAUCACCUCUUGAUAUUUUUCUUCUAGUAGUUCAACAAAUCUUGCCUCAUCUUACUCCUUAACUAAAUCAUCUCUCUAACCUUUUCCUAUUUUGGUUUUGAUUUUUGAUUUUACCUUUUUCAACUUGUUAUUUGAAAAUAAGCUAUUAGCUACUCUCAAGCAUUCUCAUUCUCAUUCUCAGUUGAAAAUACAAUGGCUAAAAACUUAACAAAUUUAGGACUACAAGAAGCAAGAUGAUAUUUUAACUUUUUUAAAAAAGAAACAUUUAUUUUUCCAAUUACUAUAUGUCGAAUCCCACUAAAAAUAAUCCAAAGUGAAAGAGAUGAGAUAUAUCUAAUUUCCCCCUCGCAUUAUUAUUCAAGAGUCUCUAUCAAUGCAUGGGAUUAUUCUAGUUGGGUGGAAUUGAAUGUGGCCUUCUACUUCUAGAAUCUAACCUAAUAAUCUUGACUUACUUCCAUUUGGUCCUUACGAAUUCGAUUCCACAUAAUCAGAAGGUGACGACAUCAUAUCCAUAUCUAUCAUCCUUGUUGAUUCUUUUAACAUUAAAUAAAGAAAAUUUGUAAAAAUAGCAAAAUAUAUAUAUAUAUAUGAUAAUAGAGUCCAUGUCAUUUUACAUUUUUAAAAUUACAAAAACAACAAAUUUAAAAAUAGUGAUUACUGUCAUAUUUGCAAAUUUUGCAAUAUGCAAAAAAGAGGUGUUAAUUAGCUGUUUUUUCCUAUUUUUUUAAUCAUUUAAUGCAAUUUUUCUUAAAUAAAUUAAAAUUUUGUUUAUUUGUCACAUAGUUGGUAGUUUGUUGGUUCAGUUUUACUCUUUGAUUUAAACUAAAAGUGAUUAGACUUUAAAUGGAUAUUUGUUUUAGGAUAAUAAUUGAGUGCAUGUCCAGUAGCACCUAUCUCUAUGGAUACUAUCUUUAUUAUUCACAAAAAAAAAAGAAAUAAAUUAUUGUAAAAAACGCAAACAAAUUGUUAUAUGUCAAACAAUAUGGUUGAACUAUUUGGUGAAAUAUAUACAUGUAAGUAUUAAUUUUGUUAUUUUGAAUUUAUUCAGUAUAGUAUAAUAAAAAGUGUAGAAAAUUCAAAUAGGUAUUUGAUAAUAUACAUACAUAUAUACAUAUAUAUUGUAGAUACCCUAUUUUGUCAUAUAUUUAUUUAUUAUAAAAGAAAAAGGAAAAGAAAAAGAAAUUAAAUUUGAAUUUGAAUUUGAAUUUAUAUUUUAAAAACAAUAAUAAUAAUAAAAUAAAUACAUUUAAAAAUAAAUAAUAAAAAUAAAAAUAAAAGGUUUGUUUCCUUCCUAUUUUUUCUCAAAUAUCCAUUUUUCUUCGUCAUCACUCUCCCACUUUCUCCCACUCUAUCACUUUCUCCCACUCUUCCACUUUCUUCCUAUUUUUCUGUAGUCUGCACUCCAUCUCGUGAUCUAAAAAAACAAUGGACCUUGCCCUAUAAAAAGGAAAGAGAAAAAAAGAAAAGGGAGAAUUUUUUUUUAUUAUUAUUGGAGGAAAAAAGAAAGAAGAUCAAGAGGAGUAACCUUUGGCAUUUAAGGGCAGAAGUUUUUUUUUUUUUCCUAUUUUUAUUCUUGUUUGAUGAUACUGCUUUUAAUUAUGAACUAUCGUGUUCAUCAUUGUUCAUCAUUUUACCGUCAUUUGACAUGUUAAUUUAAUUAUUUGUAUUUUUUUUAAUACUAAGCAUUCUAUCUUCCGUUCUAUAUUAAUUUUUUUUAUUUUUUUAAAUAUUGAGCUGUUCUGUGUUAUUUUUUUUUUUGUUGGGUAUCCAUUGUGUUAAUUUCCUUUUAUUAUUGGGCAUCCACUCUAUGUUAAUUUACUUUUAUUAUUGGGCAUCCACUCUGUGUUAAUUUUCUUUUAUUUAUUGGGCAUCCAUUCUGUGGUGAUUUCCUUUUAUUAUUGGGCAUCCAUUCUGUGUUAAUUAAUUAGCAUCAUGUAUUUGUAUUUGGAUACUCAUUUUUCAUUGGCACCCAUUUUACAGUUAAUUACUUAUAUCCAUAUGACAACAUGCCUUAAUAAUUAUGCAUAAUUAAUCAAUUAACAUCAUGUAUUUGGUAAUACUCAUUCUUCAUUGGCAUCCAUUUUACAGUCUUUGUUAAUUACUUUAUCCAUAUAUCCAUAUGGCAGUACUGCGUUAAUAAUUACUGCUAUCCAUAUAUUAUCAAUGUUAAUAAUUAUCCAUGAUAUAAUUAAUAUUUGGCAACACCCAUUUUUCAUUUGGCCUAUUAAUUAAUUAGCAACUUGUAUGUGACAUUUUCACCCACUCAUUCUAAUUAUUUGCAUGAUGUAUUAAUUAAUCAGUAUGCAUCUGGCUAUAAUUAUUUGAUAUUCAUUUUGGUGUGAUUAUUUAUUUGCAAUAUUAUUUAUUUGCAUAUCGGGUCAAACCUACUUUGGCAUUCAACUGUUAAUUAUUAUUUGAUAUCCAUUUGGCCCUCGUUUAAUUAUGCAUUAAUCAAUUAUUUUGUAUCAUGAAUUAAUCAAUUAUUUUUUGCAUCUUGCAUGUGUUGUAUUAAUUAAUUAUCUUUGCAUGUGUUGUAUUAAUUAAUUAUCUUGCAUCCUACAUUAAUAUCUUUUACAUUUUGCAUAUAUUAUCAAUGUAUUUAUUUUAUCUCAGCAUAUUACACUUAAGUAUUUUUCAAAUUUCAUAAUGUUUUGUCAUUGUUAUUAUUCAUUUUUUUUAUUUAAAUAUAAUAAUGUAAAUUGGAGAAAAAGUAUUGUUUUCUUAUGGAUUUUAUAAUUUAAAAACCAUGAAUACAUGAAAUUUUUCCGUUUGAAAUUUAAUUAAUAGAUUGUUUUUAAAUUAACACAUUUCAUAUUUUAAAUGAGACUGAGUAGUAUUUUCUAUGAAUUUAUUAAUUCUAGAUAUAUGAAUUUUUUCAUUAAACACCUAUGAUAGAGAUUAAAAUAUCAAGUUUUUGGUAUCUUAAUAUUCUUAAGGUGAAUAAAAAUAUUUUAAAACAAAAAUAAACUUAAUUUUUCUAAUGGCUCCUAUGCCACCCAUAAUUAUCAAUUCAUGCUUAGGUUUUACUUUCUUCGAUAUGAAUUGAUAAACAUGAGACAUUUAAACAAAACCUAAAUAAAAACUUUGUUAUGUGAACCCUUAUAUUUAAUUUAAAAGAUAAAAUUGGGUAACCAUUUUGUGGGUGUUGUAGGGUGCUAACACCUUCCCUACACACAACUGACUCCCGAACUUAAAUCUCUGAAUUUACGUAGACCAUUCUUUUUUUUUUUUUUUUGGUGACCAAUCACACCUUAAUAUGAUUGGUGGCGACUCCAAAAUUAUUUAUUAAAAUAAAAUAAACGGGGAGGUCGGCCGCUCCGCGUAGCGAUCACGUCGCGACAUAUAUAUAUAUAUAUAUAUCAAACAGGGCUCAUUUCCUUUCAAAAAGAGUUAUGUAAUGACAUGAAACAUCACAAAUAAAAGUUGGAAAAAGAGGAAUAGAAAAAUUAGAAAAGAAAAGAGAAGGAUUAUCACCUUUUGUAAGAAUAUGGUCCCUUUUGUCCCUUUCGAAAGAAAUGUAGGAACCUAUUUUCCUCAAUUGUUAAAUUUCAAUAUAAAUAAUCAAAAUGAUUGUAAAUUAAAAUAUUUAUAAAUAUAAUAUAAUUAAAUAAUCUCAAAAUUUUCUAUAUAUAUUUUUUAUAAUUAUUUUAGUUUAUUUUAUUAUAUUUGGAAUGUUAUUUUUUCUUCCAUUAUUAAUUUUUUAGGUAAUUAAAGUGAAAGAUUUGAUUCAAGUACUAGUAAUUGCAAGGUUUUUAUUAGCACCCAUCGCUGGAAUUGUUUAAAUAUAAAAUUUAUAUGUGAAAGGAUUAAUUAAAGAAUAAACUAGUUUAGGGUAAUUGACUCACGGAGUGAUCUUCAUCCUACGUAUAAUAGUGGUGUUUGAGCAACAAUGUUGCUAGCUAGCUAGCUUGUGAUCUCUAUCUAUGUCUUCAUAUAACAUUAAUACUUCUAUUGAUCUCAAUUUUCCUCUAUGCUUCUAUCCGUUUAAUUAAACCAAUCUUCGUGUUAGUUUAGAAUAAUCAUAAGUUUUGAAUUAAUUAAUUUUUAGUGAUGACUUUGUUUCUCCACCCCUCACAAAGUUGAACUAAAAAAAUUGAUUAAUAACCGGGGUUAUCAGUCCUUUAUUUUCUUCAAAAUAAUAUUUACUUAUAUUACCCUAAUGUUUAAAAUUAUAUCCUGAAAACCAUGUGAAUAACACUUAAAAGAACAAAAAGGCAUUGUUUGAAAAAAAUUAUUUAAAAUAUAGAAUCUUUUGAUUUUCAAAAGCAAAGAUUCAGUAAAGAACAACUUUGGAGAUCACUAUCUUUUAGAUGUGAUGUGUGGAAUAAUCGUCCCUGAAGUGGGAGUGAUACAGAUGAUAUACAAAAGAAAAUAUCAGAAAGCACUAACAAUUAAUGAUGUCUUUAAUACUCUUCUAGUGAAUCUAAUUUAUUUCCAAGGACUCUACCAUAUGUGAGGAAUAUUUGACUGCAUCCAUUUUUACGAAGUCUACUUAAUUGUAACUUGUCCUAUGAUAAAUAUUAGUAUUACACAAUCCACAAUCAAUUAGGCCUAGUACUUGGGAAGUUCUCCAAAGAGCAUAUACAGUAGCAAAGUAUUUGAUGGAUGAUAAAUAGAAAUAGGUUAGAUUUUUUUUCUAGGGUUUGCAAUUGAAGAGUUAAUUUCUUUGAGGAACAAUAUUCACAAAGCAAGAGGGAUCAAGAGAUACAUUAAGACAUCUAAACUAAAUUGACACAUCUCUAACACUUUCAACAAAUUCUAUAACUGAAAGAUGUAUUAAUUACAAUGAGAGAGAACAUAAUGAAAGCCAGAAGGAAGCUUGGGACAGUACAUAGAGUUAGAGCUAUACAAGACGAAGGCUUCCAAUUUAGGAAAAUUUUGACAAGGAUAACAGUAUAUCUAAUUUUUAAUAGGAAUGUAAAUUUGAAAACUUGCAUACCCCUAAUAAUCUGUAGAUACAAAUUUAAGUACUUUUAAAAUUUAAUUUUAUGAAUCAAUUAUACAUUAAACUGCAGAGAGCCAUACUAAACACUUUUCAAAACCGUUACCCAGUGAAAUAAUUAAUUCCAAGAACCAUAAUAAUUAAAUAUGGAGUAAUUUUGUAUAAUAAUCAAGUUGAUGAUUGAUUUGUUGUGAAAUAUUUAUGCUCUUGUCUUGUCAUUUCAAAGUACUGUAGCUUUAAGUGGAUGGUUCUUUUUCCCUCCGAUGCAAAUUCCAAAUUCCAAAUCAACUCCAAAUAUCAUAAAUUUAUUCUUCGACAAAUAAAGAAAGAGUACUAUAUAUGAUCAUAAAAUUAUUUGAAUUGGAAUCAUUCAAAUUGUUUGUACUAUAUAUGAUCAUAACACAGUUUUUUUGCAUAGGCUACACUCAUCUCUACCUUAUUAUUAGAAGGUAACCUGGUUAUCAUUGAGCAUGUGAAAGGUAAAUAAUGUAUUUAAUAUAAAAAUCAAGAUCUCUCUAAUUUUUCUUCGACGUGAUAUUCUUUAACCCUAGUUAGUGGGGUACGCUAAGAAAAUGUAGUAUAAAUACACAAAACCACGACCACCAAAGCUCACAAAACAAAACCCCCAUUCCUCCUGAACCUCCUUCUCCAAAGAAAAAAGAAUGGCGUUCCGUUCAGUGAACAAUCUUCAAUUCUGGAAGGAUGACAUGAGGAGAGCUUACAGAGAGAAAGUUGGGAGUUCAAGAAGAAGGCGUAUCAAAAUCCGCGACAUCAUCGACGUCUUAGAAAUCGUCGGACCCAUCAUCCCUCAUUUCUUCGGUAGUAACUCUCUCAGUGCCGGUCCCGACAACUACAGUAAUUAUGGUAAUAACCACAUGAAUGGUAGUUAUGGUCGUCGUGACGAUGACAUGCAUUCUUUCCACUGUGGCGGCGGCGGUGGUGGCCGGUUCGGUCUUGACAUGGGUUCUGGUGAUUAUGGGAAUGAAAGCAGGCACUACGGUGGACGUGGAAAUGGUAACAGUCAGUACGGGAUGAGGAUGGCUCUUGCUGAAGACUAUUAUGAUCGUGAAAUCACCGAGGAAGAGUUUGAGAGGCUUCUUGACUUUGCUGAGCAGAGUCAUAACAAUAAUUCCAGAAUGUACUGAUCAAAAUAUAAUAUAAAAAUUAUAUGUGUGGGACAAAAUAUAAUAAUAUCAACCCCUUCCUUCUUGUAAUCUACACCACUUCUACUCUAUUAUCCUUCUAAUAAAAUUUAAAAAAGUAAUAAUGGACUGCCUUGCUACUCCUUUUUCUUUCUUUUUCAUAAUAAAAAAAAAGUUACUUGAGGUUUUUCUUUCGAUAAAAAUGUUAGAAAUUAAAAAUUUGCAAGUGUUAAGUAAUAUAGGAUUUAUAAUGGCAGUGAAUAUUAUUAGAUAAUAUGAUUAUAUGAAAUUGGUUUUAAGUUUAUCUUAAAUUUAAUUUAGCAUUGUAUUAACUUCAACUAAUUUAGAUUUAUUGAACUUAAUUAAAUUUGAAAGACUAAUUUAAAUUUAAAAACCGUUAGCAAAUAUAAUAAUUAAAUUUAAAGCAAUAGAAUUUAUCACACUUGCCUAUAUUUACAAUUUACCAUUAUUUACCAUUUCUUUUUAAUUAUUAUUUCUAAAAUAUUUUUAUAAUAGUUAUCCUAAAAUUUAUAUAAUAGAUGUCAUUGAAAAUUCAUCUAAAAAAAUUUAUACACCCAGAAGAGUUCGGCCCAUUGAUUGAAGCAGCCUUCUUCCGAUCAUGUUUAAUUUUAUCACUCUUUUCGCCUAAUUAUAUAAGCAUUUCGUAUGAGGAUGAGGGAAAGACAUUAUUCAUUAAAAGCACCUGCAUCAUAUUAGGGAGAGAGUAAAGUUAUUUUUCGUUUUUAAAGAAAUAAAAGUCUUUUUUUUUUCUGUUGAGGUGUCAAUUAGAGAUUUCAUAUCACUUGUAGAAUACGAUGAGGAUGCUAAAAAUGUAUUAAUGUAGUUGAGAGAUGAUUUGGAUGCUUCUGGUGAUUCUAUCAUUUAGUGUCUUUGUUGAAAAAUAUAUGAGGAUUUUAACUUCUUAACGUUAAACUAGAAAAAUAUCCUUAAAUACUAUGGACUAAGAGAGAGGGUCAAUGGGCUUUUACAUGCCAAAUAUACAAACAUGAGAGAACUAAAUAACAUAAAAAGAAAAAGGAAACCGAGGAUAUAUAUAUAUAUAUAUAUAUACGUGAGGACUAUGAACACCGAUGAACAACCUUUGAUUUUCCAGCCACGGUGUAUACUGUAUAACUUGUUUUGUUGUUAUGUAUUAGACUUAUUUAUUUUUCAAAAUAUUUAUGUAUAAUUGCUUUUAAGAGAAAUGUAGUUGAGAAAUGUAUAAUUAUUUUUGAAAAUAUAUAUAUUCAAACAAGUGAUUUGAUAUAUAUAACAGACGAUGCUUUUAGGAAACUUUAGCAAAGUUUAUUGCAUAAAAGAAAAUAGAGUAUUUUUAUAGCAUCUCUAUCACUUCAGAAUAAAAUAUGACAGCAUGAUCUUCCGCGUGGUUUAAUUUACAAUUUGGAUCAACAUUGAAACUUCAAGUUUCGUAAGAUUGUAGGCAAGGGGUUACGACUUGAUCAUAUUUUAAUUUAACAGUAUUGGUGGAUCUCAUGAAGUUUUGAAAAUGUCAACACACGCUGUAUUAUUUCCUUAAUUAAAUGCAUUUAAUUAACACAUUUCAUUAAGUUUUGAAAAUGUCAAACAAUAUUCUUUCAAUUCAUAUUAGCUCAAAAACUUCACAAUCACACUUAGUGAGUUUUCUAAAAUAGCUUGAAUUCGUUAAUUAAAUAAAGGGAAAUUAUCAAACCAGAUUAAACUUUUUUAUGUCAACAGAGUGAUUUAAGAUAGAGCAUGUAGUUUAGGGCUGUUUAAAAAUAUAUAUUUAUUAACUUCUUUGGUACUUAAAAUUUAAAAACAAUUAUUUAACUCAAACGGGUUGUUUUAUUUAAUGUUUUAUUAUACUUCACAUUUUUUUUUUUUAUUUGCCAAUUCAGUUGAUUUUUUUUAUUCUAAUUAAGUGGCAGGGCCUCUUUAUAAACCUUAUUAAAAGGACUGAUACUAGAAUUUACUUUUUGAAAAAAAUACGUUGGAUCAGUAGGUGCACUCGGACAUUUCUAUAGAUAGACACCCGCUUAGCAUCCAGACACUCCACUAUGUGCAUCUAGACAAAAUACUAAGACCAAAAUUAGACAUAUAUCAAAGUGGAAUCAAGAAAUAAACCAUUAUAUUCUUGGAUUAUUAUAGUUUGAUUAAAAUAAUUUAUUUUUGUGGUGUAGAUUAUUUUAGUUUGAGAUAUAAUAGUAUGUGUUCAAUAUAGACUAUUUUAGUUUGAUAAGAAGUAAAUAGUAAACAGUAAAAAAAAAUGAUAAAUAGUAAAAUAGUAAAAAAUGUAGUAAUUAAACAAAAAAAUAUUUUAACAAAUUGAAAAUUUGAAAUAACGUUUACCAUAACUAAUUGAAAACUCUUAAAUACUAUUUAGUGGAAGAAAAAAGGUAGCAUGUUUGGUGCAUUCAAACAAACUCAAACCAAAUAUCUCUCCAAUCAAUUUUCGUACAAUUCUCUCUCCUUUUCUCUUACUCUUCUCUACCUCGUAGAAUCAAGAGAAAUUGUAUUAGAUGACAAGAAUAUUUAAAAAAAGACAAUAACUGACACUUUUUUUCUUUUGUAUAUUAUGAAUAUGACAAAUAUGAUUGGUAAUUAGUGAUACUAGAUAAUUAUCAAUUUUCAAAAUUUAUUAUUCUAAUUUAGAAAAUAUAGUGAAACGAAUUCUAUAAUUAUAAUUAUAUAUAUAUAUAUAUAUAUUUUGUUAUUUUUUUUGGAAGGAUUCCUAAAAUUAAAUAUAAUAUUCUCUCUCCAAUAUUCUCUCCCUUUAUUAAAUACUAACAUGUGUCCUGCAUGUUAAUUUUUUUAAUUACAAUUAUUUCCCAUCUAAGUAAACAUAUAUUAUUUAUAUUUUAUUGGCUUUUUUAAAAAAAAUUAAUUAUUCUUAAAAUAUAAAUAAAAAGGAGACAUCACCAACACUUAUUUUUACAUUGACAUAAAAUAAAUAAUUUUUAAUUAAACAUAAUAAAAAUAAAAUGUAAAAUUACACCUAUUUAAAAAAACAUUUUACUUUAUCCAUCAUUUCUCCGAUAUUUAAAGUCACGAUGUCAUAAAACAUAUUAUAUCAAACUAUUUCUAUCAAUUAGACAUAUCAAAGUUUAAGGAAAAUUCUCCUAAAAAUUGGCAAAGUAUUACAAUUUCUCCUAUCCGUGGUAGGAUAUCCUUUGAUAAAAUAUUGCUUUUUUUUAAAAAAAAAAGAUUAUUUUCAAAUCUAUUUAGAGAGUUUCACAUGGUAAAGAUAACAUUUUGUCUCUAAUAGAAAUUCUAGCCAUUGAAGUUGGUGAGUAAGGAGACUUUGGAGGUUUUACUUAGCUACUACAAGAAAUUAAGUUUUCACUCACGUAGAAAAAACGUUAUUAAAAUAUAAAAGAACAUUGUUAAAAAUAUUAAGAACAUCAUACCAUUCGUUGCUAAGAUUGUUGUAAUAUUCUGUAGCUAAAAAUUUCAGCUACACAACAAAUGCACACGCCGCAAAAUGUCUGCUUUUAGUGAUAUUUGUGCAUUACUAAAUACUUUUAGUAACAUAUAUGUUUUGAUACUAUUUAUCUUUUAUAGUGACCUAAAUUAAGUUAAUUUUUUAAGAAAAUUUAAUUUUCAAUCUUUCUUUACAUAGUUUUUACCUCUCUUAAAUAUAAUCUUAGAAGGUAUUUGGAAUGCAAAAAGUGAGUUAUAUAUUAUAUAAUUUUAGGUUAUUAUAAUUUGCUUAGAAUAGUUUAUUUUUUAGACGUAAAUUAUUUUAAAUUGAGUUAUAAUAUUAUGUGUUGAUGUGUAUGCUAUUUUAGUUUUAUAAAAAUGUAGCAAACAAUAAAAAGAUGAACGAAUGUAAAAUAGUAAAAAAUGUAACAAGUAAUUGUUACAUUAACGAAUUGAGAAUUUUCAAAUAAUAUUUAUCAUUCAAUUUUCAAUAGUAUUGUGUGGAGCAAUAAAUAGUUAUUAUAAAGUUUGAUAAUGUUUGCCCCAUAACCACAUUUUUAUGUAUUAAAAAAAACUGAAAUCAAAUAUCUCUCACCUCUUAUCUUCCGAUCUGUUCCAUAAAAUCAAAUAUAAUAUUUUCUCAUUCCUCACUUUCUUUCUCUCUGCAUUCUCUUUUCGUUUAUUAAAUAUUAACAUGUGUCGGGCAUGUUUAAUUUUUUAUUUUUAUUUUUAAUACACCAUAUGAUAGAUAUCGGUUUUUUAAUACACUAUAAAAUAAACUAAUAAACUUGUGGAAUUUUUUACUAAUUAAUUAAUUAUGACUAUUAAUUUUAAUUAACUAUUGAACAUUAUUAAGGGUACAAAGAAAUUAUUAUCAUCAAUUACCAACUCUAUAUAAAGACUCCUUCCACAAAGAAAAACUCAGGCACAAAUAAAUUGUUAUCAUAGAUAUCAGAGGUUGGCCAUUUGGCAAAGUACGCCCGCUCUCGAAUAUAUCAUUGAAAUGGCAACGUCGAGGUCUCAAUUGAAGUUGACUAGGGACGAGGUUAGGGAGAUCUUAGAAGAACAUGAUGUGGACGGUGAUGGUCGCCUGACUAAGCAAGAGGUGAUGCAAGCCCUGAACUCCAUGGGUGUUAUGAUGUCGUUUCAGAAAGCUCACUAUGGUGUUGCUUUUGCUGACAAAGAUGGAGAUGGUGCAGUCGAUCUAGAAGGUGGUGAGAUUGAUUCGCUUGUUGACUAUGUCAUGAGGUUUCAGGCCUCAAAGGACGUCCCUAAAGAUGCCAGCCCAGAAGCCUUGCCAUGAUGGUGAAUCGAAUUGUGUAAUAAUCUUAGCUUAUUUCUAUUUUUUAUGUGUUCAUCUUCGUCGUCGUACCUGUUUUUCAGCCCAUAUUGUUUAUGUUACAAAUUGAGCUAUGGUUAUGCUCAAAUUGACAAUUAUCCACGCAUGUUUGUUGUCUACAAUAUUAUUGUGUCAUCGGUGAUAAAAAUGUCUUUCUUCUUGAAUCUACGGAUUAUUAUAUAAUAAACAUCCCUAAACUAAUAUUAAAAUUGUCAAAUUUUUCUGUUUCAUUAUUUCAUUUCAUGCAAACGUGUGAAUUAUUGUUUUAACUUUACACCGU